AGAGUUUGAUCAUGGCUCAGAGUGAACGCUGGCGGUAGGCCUAACACAUGCAAGUCGAACGGCAGCACAGGAGAGCUUGCUCUCUGGGUGGCGAGUGGCGGACGGGUGAGGAAUACAUCGGAAUCUACUUUUUCGUGGGGGAUAACGUAGGGAAACUUACGCUAAUACCGCAUACGACCUACGGGUGAAAGCAGGGGAUCUUCGGACCUUGCGCGAUUGAAUGAGCCGAUGUCGGAUUAGCUAGUUGGCGGGGUAAAGGCCCACCAAGGCGACGAUCCGUAGCUGGUCUGAGAGGAUGAUCAGCCACACUGGAACUGAGACACGGUCCAGACUCCUACGGGAGGCAGCAGUGGGGAAUAUUGGACAAUGGGCGCAAGCCUGAUCCAGCCAUACCGCGUGGGUGAAGAAGGCCUUCGGGUUGUAAAGCCCUUUUGUUGGGAAAGAAAAGCAGUCGGUUAAUACCCGAUUGUUCUGACGGUACCCAAAGAAUAAGCACCGGCUAACUUCGUGCCAGCAGCCGCGGUAAUAC
rnacentral:rRNA from 1 species